rnacentral:rRNA from 1 species
GGGUUAAGUCCCGCAACGAGCGCAACCCUUAUUGUUAGUUGCCAUCAUUCAGUUGGGCACUCUAGCAAGACUGCCGGUGACAAACCGGAGGAAGGUGGGGAUGACGUCAAAUCAUCAUGCCCCUUAUGACCUGGGCUACACACGUGCUACAAUGGGAAGUACAACGAGUUGCGAAGUCGCGAGGCUAAGCUAAUCUCUUAAAGCUUCUCUCAGUUCGGAUUGCAGGCUGCAACUCGCCUGCAUGAAGCCGGAAUCGCUAGUAAUCGCGGAUCAGCACGCCGCGGUGAAUACGUUCCCGGGCCUUGUACACACCGCCCGUCACACCACGAGAGUUUGUAACACCCGAAGUCGGUGAGGUAACCUUUUGGAGCCAGCCGCCUAAGGUGGGAUAGAUGAUUGGGGUGAAGUCGUAACAAGGUAGCCGUAUCGGAAGGUGCGGCUGGAUCACCUCCUUU